CAGUGAGGCCUUCGGACUGGCCCAGGGAGGUCGGCAACGACCACCCAGGGCCGGGAAGUUCGUCAAACUUGGUCAUUUAGAGGAAGUAAAAGUCGUAACAAGGUCUCCGUAGGUGAACCUGCGGAGGGAUCAUU
rnacentral:rRNA from 1 species